rnacentral:rRNA from 1 species
GAUGAACGCUGGCGGCGUGCUUAACACAUGCAAGUCGAACGGAAAGGCCCAAGCUUGCUUGGGUACUCGAGUGGCGAACGGGUGAGUAACACGUGGGUGAUCUGCCCUGCACUUCGGGAUAAGCCUGGGAAACUGGGUCUAAUACCGGAUAGGACGAUGGUUUGGAUGCCAUUGUGGAAAGUUUUUUCGGUGUGGGAUGAGCUCGCGGCCUAUCAGCUUGUUGGUGGGGUAAUGGCCUACCAAGGCGUCGACGGGUAGCCGGCCUGAGAGGGUGUACGGCCACAUUGGGACUGAGAUACGGCCCAGACUCCUACGGGAGGCAGCAGUGGGGAAUAUUGCACAAUGGGCGCAAGCCUGAUGCAGCGACGCCGCGUGGGGGAUGACGGCCUUCGGGUUGUAAACUCCUCUCGCUAGGGACGAAGCGUUUUUGUGACGGUACCUGGAGAAGAAGCACCGGCUAACUACGUG